ensembl:lncRNA
UGACCAUUAUGACCAAUGUACUCUAGAACUCUUUAAUGUUCCUUCCAUUCUAGAACAGAAGGUUGGGUUCCCAGUAGAUGUACUCUAGAACUCUUUAAUGUUCCUUCCAUUCUAGAACAGAAGAUUGGGUUCCCAGUAGAUGUACUCUAGAACUCUUUAAUGUUCCUUCCAUUCUAGAACAGAAGGUUGGGUUCCCAGUAGAUGUAUUCUAGAACUCUUUAAUGUUCCUUCCAUUCUAGAACAGAAGGUUGUGUUCCCAGUAGAUGUACUCUAGAACUCUUUAAUGUUCCUUCCAUUCUAGAACAGAAGGUUGGGUUCCCAGUAGAUGUACUCUAGAACUCUUUAAUGUUCCUUCCAUUCUAGAACAGAAGGUUGUGUUCCCAGUAGAUGCAUAUCUAAUGAGGGGUUGGUGUCUCACAUGUUGAUGUUGAUACCUUAGUUAUUGCUAUUGUUUUACGUGAUAUUAAUAUUUUAUAUUAAUUUUGUUGUAAAGAUUGUAUGGAAUUCUUCUCCAGCACAGGUUCUGCCAUGUUGUUGAUCUGAAAGCAUGUCUCUUCAAUAAGUGUGUCUUUUUGUUUUUUAUAAAGAACUUGGUUUCAUAUUUGUUUGGAUGGUAGAAGUUAAACAUUGUGGUUUUUAUUAUGAGACACUAAUGUCUGUAUAUGUGGCACUUUGGAUUGAAGUAUUAAAAUAUAAUGGGGGAAAAUAA